GAUGAACGCUGACAGAAUGCUUAACACAUGCAAGUCGAUGGGGAAGUGGUGCUUGCCCCAUGGCAACCAUGGCGGACGGGUGAGUAACGCGUAAGGGACUUACCUGCGGGACUGGGAUAACAGGGGGAAACUCCUGACAAGACCGGAUAAUGUCAUGGAGCUGCAUGGCUUUAUGAUGAAAGGAGACGCCUGCGGAGAGCCUUGCGUCCUAUUAGCUAGUUGGUGAGGUAAUGGCUCACCAAGGCGAAGAUAGGUAGCCGGCCUGAGAGGGUGGACGGCCACAAGGGGACUGAGAUACGGCCCUUACUCCUACGGGAGGCAGCAGUGGGGAAUAUUGGACAAUGGGGGCAACCCUGAUCCAGCAAUUCUGUGUGCACGAAGAAGGUUUUCGGAUUGUAAAGUGCUUUCAGCAGGGAAGAAGUAAGUGACGGUACCUGCAGAAGAAGCGACGGCUAAAUACGUG
rnacentral:rRNA from 1 species